GCGGAGAUGGCGGCCACUUUCCUUCGGGGAAGAAUGGUCUAACAGGUGGGCCCCACCUGUGAGCGUCUACGCGCGCUGUUCGGCUCGUGCGCGGUUGGGACUGGCCCGGUUCAGCCCAAAACGGCCGGGCCGGUCCGGUUUUCCCCUUUUAUUUUCAUUUAGCCCUUUUCUUUUUCUGUUUUUCUUAUUUCUUUGCUAUCUUUUGAUUUUGAACUCCAAAUUUGGUCCAAACAAAUUCCAGAAAAUUUGUAAAAUCAUGUUCUAUCAUGAUACAACUUUUGGGAGUAGUUUCCCCUCAAAAUUAAAUAUCUAAAAAUACAUUUGCCCUAGAAAUGCCUUUAGGGCUAUAUAACUAUUUAAAUAAAAUAGUUUUUCAAGUGG
rnacentral:lncRNA from 1 species